UAAUUACUUCUUGUGGCCUCCGUAUUUCCAAGGAGUACAAAUAGCAAUGCAUAUUAAGACUAGACCAUUUCCUAGGCAGAUGUUGAUUUGGGACUAUUUUGGGUGGAAGCACAGCUGAAGCACUGCUACUCGGGCAGCCU